AGCCAGGGAUGAUGUUUCAGGGGGGACCCAUUUCACCAUGACGCCAGUUUCCAGAGGACCGCCGGUGGAGCAGGACAGGUUCAGGUUCUCCGUUAGACUGAAGCGUGGAUCUUGACUGCGCCACUCCGAAGCGCAAUGUGACUUGCAUUCAGAAGAAACAAGCAGGAUGAAGCUUCAGAUCCACUGAUGAAGAGGAGGGAAGGGCACCAAACAGGGCGGAAAGGUGUAGAAGCAGACUUCUCGGAUCUUAUCUUCUAUUUUUUCACAGCCAGACAAGACAUGUUGAACAAAAUAAAUAACUACAGCUUGAGAACAGUUAAUUGUAUUUAGAAUAACCUACAUAAUUUAAUAUGUAGUAAAAAUUAACCAGUUCCAUCUCAGAAGUUUACGACCGACCUCGGCGCCUGUUUACAAACAACCCGUCAAAUCACGAGAUCAGAAUUUAUCACGGCUUUUUUAGUGUUUAAUGCUCUUUUUAAAGGUUUUUAGUGGCCUUUAUUUAGCAGCAGGUAGACAAGAGGAAGGGCAAACAGAGAGAAGUGGAAAACAUGCAGAAAACGGCCCAGGGCCGGGAAGCGAACUGGGGCCAACCGCGUGGAGGACAGGAGCCUCCGUUGAAGCGCUGGCUCUCUCUCUGAUCCAUAUGGGGCUCAGUCUUCCAUGUUUUUAGGUUGAACAUUUUUAAUGCCUGAAUCGGCUCACCAGUGUAACAAGUCCAAAGCUUCUUAGCACCACAACAAAUCGAUGUCGAAACGAGGAACGAGAGCUGGAACGGAGGUUUCUUUGGAUUUAGAGGACGCAGAAUGUCCACGUCUUUUUGUGCAUUUAAAAACUCAAAUAUCGGAAAUCUGCAUUACCACACAAACUGAAAGAAUCCCAAAAAGAAACUUUAGCAAGGUCCAAACACUGAACGUCCAUGGACAUAGGACUGUUUCAGGUCAAGUUUGUCUUUUUAACCCAAUUAACCUAGUUAGUCCAAAAUAAAUAAAGCAGAACUUUGUUAGUCCAUUUGCUCAACUUUAGCGUGCUUAGACACAUUUUGUCUUUGUUUAGACAGAAAACAAUAGUUUGUGUGUUUCUGCCAUUUCUCAUUGUUGAAUCUGCAGCUUUGAGGGAAGUGUUAAAAAUUCAACACUCUGUUGUCUUCAUCAAAAUGUAAAUAAUUUUAUUGUAAUUUGGACUAGUAAUUAAAAA